UACGUAGGGUGCAAGCGUUGUCCGGAAUUAUUGGGCGUAAAGAGCUCGUAGGCGGUCUGUCGCGUCGGCUGUGAAAACCCGGGGCUCAACCCCGGGCCUGCAGUCGAUACGGGCAGACUAGAGUGCGGUAGGGGAGACUGGAAUUCCUGGUGUAGCGGUGAAAUGCGCAGAUAUCAGGAGGGACACCGGUGGCGAAGGCGGGUCUCUGGGCCGUAACUGACGCUGAGGAGCGAAAGCGUGGGGAGCGAACAGG
rnacentral:rRNA from 1 species